UACAGAGGGUGCGAGCGUUAAUCGGAAUUACUGGGCGUAAAGCGCACGUAGUCGGCUUUGCAAGUCGGUUGUGAAAUCCCCGGGCUCAACCGAGGAACUGCGCCCAAAACUGCUGCACUAGAGGAAGACAGAGGUACGCGGAACUUAGGGUGGAGCGGUGAAAUGCGUUGAUAUCCUAAGGAACACCGGUGGCGAAAGCGGCGUACUGGGUCUUAUCUGACGCUGAGGAGCGAAAGUGUGGGGAGCGAACAGG
rnacentral:rRNA from 1 species